rnacentral:rRNA from 1 species
AACAAACGCUGGCGGCGUGCCUAACACAUGCAAGUCGUACGAUAAAGGGUCCCUCGGGGCCUGAGUAAAGUGGCGCACGGGUGAGUAACGCGUGGAUAAUCUGCCCUUCAGUUGGGAAUAACUCAUCGAAAGGUGGGCUAAUACCGAAUAAUGCUGUGAGACCUCGGUUGAUCAGCCAAAGAGAGCCUCUGCUUGCAAGCCCUCGCUGAAGGAUGAGUCCGCGUACCAUUAGCUAGUUGGUAGGGUAACGGCCUACCAAGGCGACGAUGGUUAGCUGGUCUGAGAGGAUGAUCAGACACACUGGAACUGAGACACGGUCCAGACUCCUACGGGAGGCAGCAGUGAGGAAUCUUGCGCAAUGGGGGCAACCCUGACGCAGCAACGCCGCGUGAGUGAGGAAGGUCUUCGGAUCGUAAAGCUCUGUCGGAUGGAAAGAACCGCAUAGGGGUAAACAGCCCCUGUGUCUGACGGUACCAUCAAAGGAAGCACCGGCUAACUCCGCGCCAGCCGCCGCAGUAAAAC